rnacentral:lncRNA from 1 species
CCAAGAAAGGUCGUGGGAAGCACUCCGGGUUGGUAGGUGGCAGGUUUCAACAAGCAAGGGAACUUACUUCCAAGGCUUGUCUUGGAUGCCUGGAAGACUAGUAGAUCUCUGAACCUGCCUACCAGAAUCUUAAAGAGUUUGUAUAGAGGCCUUAACUGGGUUCAGACACAUCUACCAUUCAUGUGAUCCCAAGCAACACAUUGCUCUCUCAAGGUUGCAUCCUUGAAAUAGCUCUGACUAUGGGAAAGGAGGAUGGAGACUACAUACAUUCCAAGGACAGAGAGGGAGUGGGGAACCUAAAUUGCCUGGUUCCAAGGUGCAAGUCAACCUGCCAUCAUCUCCUCUCAAUUAUUUCCUCCAAUAGAUCUCAGGAUAUUUUUAGAGAUAGAAGCAUCAUAAUGGCAUACAAGAGCUAAUUACAAUUACUACCAUUAAUUGAAUUGUGUUGUGGUGAAUAUUCAUUCAUAAUUUUCUUUCUUUUCUGUCCUGGGCACAGGUUCCUUUGUGAGAGGAAUACACUGACUUUGGAGUUGCCCAAGUGGCUUGCUAUCACAUACAAAGAGGAGAGAAGCCAUGGUAUGUGAGGUCCAAGAAAAUGCCUUCAGCCAUCUUGCACUUCUGCUCUCCACAAUGAGAAGAUUGUGCCUGUGGUAGGCAUUGUUUUUCCCGAAUCCUGGAUACAGAGACUCAUGGAGUAGAUUGGAACCCAAACUGUAAACUGGCGUGAAGAGCAACUCAAUUGGCCAGAAGGACCGCCUACUCUGGAGCCACUUUAUGAGUAGUAUCCAGCUCCCCUGCAGUGAAUAUAUUAACACUCUGCCCUUCAUGAUAGCAACUGAGACGAUGAAGAGAUAAAUUAACUCGACUGAAUAAGCAGGAUUUGCUGAGCUAGGUAUAGAAAUGGAUCACCACUCAGCCCUGUGCAUUGGAAAAACUGGUGGUGCAUUGACAAAGAAUUAUGUUACAGUUUAAGAAGAACUCCAAUAAAAAGAAAAUUGAAAAAAAAAAAAAAGAAGGACCCUUUUGGUUUCUUUAGAAUCAGAUCUGGACCUCCAGCUAAGUCAGGGAUAGAAGGAAUUUUAGAGGAUACCAAACAAAUCCAAACUCUGAUGGAACCAUCUCAACACCGAGGAAAGGCAUUGCCCCUUCAGCCUAGAAAGAGGGCAAGUUCAAAUUGUGAUUUAUGCAGUUGGUCACGGAGAACGAUGGCUCAUCACUUUGCUAUCACCAUUAAUGGUGGCUGAUGCUGACUUCCUCCCUUACCUUUUGAUCUACUCCUCUCUCUAUGUAUGUAUCUUUGCAAACCCUGAAAUAAAUGAAUUCCUAAGGAAAACGGGCA